GGAAUAUUGGACAAUGGGCGCAAGCCUGAUCCAGCCAUGCCGCGUGAGUGAUGAAGGCCUUAGGGUUGUAAAGCUCUUUCAGUGGGGAAGAUAAUGACGGUACCCACAGAAGAAGCCCCGGCUAACUUCGUGCCAGCAGCCGCGGUAAUACGAAGGGGGCUAGCGUUGUUCGGAUUUACUGGGCGUAAAGCGCACGUAGGCGGAUUGGUCAGUUAGGGGUGAAAUCCUGGAGCUCAACUCCAGAACUGCCUUUAAUACUGCCAGUCUAGAGUCCGGAAGAGGUAAGUGGAACUCCUAGUGUAGAGGUGGAAUUCGUAGAUAUUAGGAAGAACACCAGUGGCGAAGGCGGCUUACUGGUCCGGUACUGACGCUGAGGUGCGAAAGCGUGGGGAGCAAACAGGAUUAGAUACCCCAG
rnacentral:rRNA from 1 species